GCCCGCUUGGCUCAGUGGUAGAGCGCAUCACUAGUAAUCACAUCGAGAAGCCAGGUUAAUGAUGAGGUCAUCAGUUCGAUUCUGAUAGUGGGCA